rnacentral:rRNA from 1 species
UGGGGAAUAUUGGACAAUGGGCGAAAGCCUGAUCCAGCCAUGCCGCGUGUGUGAAGAAGGUCUUCGGAUUGUAAAGCACUUUAAGUUGGGAGGAAGGGCAGUAAGCGAAUACCUUGCUGUUUUGACGUUACCGACAGAAUAAGCACCGGCUAACUCUGUGCCAGCAGCCGCGGUAAUACAGAGGGUGCAAGCGUUAAUCGGAAUUACUGGGCGUAAAGCGCGCGUAGGUGGUUCGUUAAGUUGAAUGUGAAAGCCCCGGGCUCAACCUUGGAACUUCCAUCCAAACCGGCGGGGUUGGGGAGGGCAGAGGGGGGUGGAAUUUCCCGGGUAGCCGUUGAAUGCGUUGGUAUUGGGAAGAACACCAGUGGCGAAGGCGACCACCUGGGCUCAUACUGACACUGAGGUGCGAAAGCGUGGGGAGCAAACAGG